GAACGAUGACGCUGGAGCUUGCUCCAGCCGAUUAGUGGCGAACGGGUGAGUAACACGUGAGUAACCUGCCCCAGACAUCGGGAUAACUCAGGGAAACCGGUGCUAAUACCGAAUAUUCUGCUUCUGUCACAUGACGGAGGUUGGAAAGGGUUUACUGGUCUGGGAUGGACUCGCGGCCUAUCAGCUUGUUGGUGAGGUAACGGCCCACCAAGGCGAUUACGGGUAGCCGGCCUGAGAGGGCGACCGGCCACAUUGGGACUGAGAUACGGCCCAGACUCCUACGGGAGGCAGCAGUGGGGAAUAUUGCACAAUGGGCGAAAGCCUGAUGCAGCGACGCCGCGUGAGGGAUGAAGGCCUUCGGGUUGUAAACCUCUUUCGACAGGGAAGAGGCGAAAGUGACGGUACCUGUAGAAGAAGCACCGGCUAACUACGUGCCAGCAGCCGCGGUAAUACGUAGGGUGCAAGCGUUGUCCGGAAUUAUUGGGCGUAAAGAGCUCGUAGGUGGUCUGUUGCGCCUGGUGUGAAAUCUCACGGCUUAACCGUGAGCGUGCAUCGGGUACGGGCAGACUUGAGUGUGGUAGGGGAGACUGGAAUUCCUGGUGUAGCGGUGGAAUGCGCAGAUAUCAGGAGGAACACCAAUGGCGAAGGCAGGUCUCUGGGCCACUACUGACACUGAGGAGCGAAAGCAUGGGGAGCGAACAGGAUUAGAUACCCUGGUAGUCCAUGCCGUAAACGUUGGGCACUAGGUGUGGGGCUCUUUCCACGAGUUCCGCGCCGCAGCUAACGCAUUAAGUGCCCCGCCUGGGGAGUACGGCCGCAAGGCUAAAACUCAAAGGAAUUGACGGGGGCCCGCACAAGCGGCGGAGCAUGCGGAUUAAUUCGAUGCAACGCGAAGAACCUUACCAAGGCUUGACAUGUACCGGAAAGCUCUAGAGAUAGAGCCCCCUUUUUGGUCGGUACACAGGUGGUGCAUGGUUGUCGUCAGCUCGUGUCGUGAGAUGUUGGGUUAAGUCCCGCAACGAGCGCAACCCUUGUCCUAUGUUGCCAGCACGUUAUGGUGGGAACUCAUAGGAAACUGCCGGGGUCAACUCGGAGGAAGGUGGG
rnacentral:rRNA from 1 species